rnacentral:rRNA from 1 species
UACGGGAGGCAGCAGUGGGGAAUAUUGCACAAUGGGCGCAAGCCUGAUGCAGCCAUGCCGCGUGUAUGAAGAAGGCCUUCGGGUUGUAAAGUACUUUCAGUCGUGAGGAAGGUGUUAAGGUUAAUAACCUUAGCAAUUGACGUUAGCGACAGAAGAAGCACCGGCUAACUCCGUGCCAGCAGCCGCGGUAAUACGGAGAGGGCUAGCGUUAUUCGGAAUUAUUGGGCGUAAAGAGCGCGUAGGCUGAUUAGUAAGUUAAAAGUGAAAUCCCAAAGCUUAACUUUGGAAUUGCUUUUUAAACUGCUAGUCUAGAGAUUGAAAGAGGAUAGAGGAAUUCCUAGUGUAGAGGUGAAAUUCGUAAAUAUUAGGAGGAACACCAGUGGCGAAAGGCGUCUAUCUGGUUCAAAUCUGACGCUGAGGCGCGAAGGGCGUGGGGAGCAAACGAGGGAUUAGAUACC